rnacentral:rRNA from 1 species
GGGGAAUUUUCCGCAAUGGGCGAAAGCCUGACGGAGCAAUACCGCGUGAGGGAAGACGGCCUAUGGGUUGUAAACCUCUUUUCUCAGGGAGGAACUCAAUGACGUGUACCUGAGGAAUAAGCAUCGGCUAACUCCGUGCCAGCAGCCGCGGUAAGACGGAGGAUGCAAGUGUUAUCCGGAAUCACUGGGCGUAAAGCGUCUGUAGGUGGUUUAAUAAGUCAACUGUUAAAUCUUGAGGCUCAACUUCAAAAUCGCAGUCGAAACUAUUAGACUAGAGUAUAGUAGGGGUAAAGGGAAUUUCCAGUGGAGCGGUGAAAUGCGUAGAGAUUGGAAAGAACACCGAUGGCGAAGGCACUUUACUGGGCUAUUACUAACACUCAGAGACGAAAGCUAGGGUAGCAAAUGGGAUUAGAUACCUCAGUAGUC